rnacentral:rRNA from 1 species
GAUGAACGCUAGCGACAGGCUUAACACAUGCAAGUCGAGGGGCAGCAGGGGAGUAGCAAUACUCCCGCUGGCGACCGGCGCACGGGUGAGUAACACGUAUGCAACCUGCCCUUGUCAGGGGGAUAAGCGGAAGAAAUUCCGUCUAAUACCGCAUAAUGCUGCGGGGAGACAUCUCCCUGCAGCCAAAGAUUUAUCGGACAAGGAUGGGCAUGCGGCGCAUUAGCUGGUUGGCGGGGUAACGGCCCACCAAGGCGACGAUGCGUAGGGGUUCUGAGAGGAAGGUCCCCCACACUGGUACUGAGACACGGACCAGACUCCUACGGGAGGCAGCAGUGAGGAAUAUUGGUCAAUGGCCGGGAGGCUGAACCAGCCAAGUCGCGUGAGGGAAGACGGUCCUAUGGAUUGUAAACCUCUUUUGUCAGGGAGCAAAAACUGCCACGCGUGGCAGGAUGAGAGUACCUGAAGAAAAAGCAUCGGCUAACUCCGUGCCAGCAGCCGCGGUAAUACGGAGGAUGCGAGCGUUAUCCGGAUUUAUUGGGUUUAAAGGGUGCGUAGGCGGACAGUUAAGUCAGCGGUAAAAUUGAGAGGCUCAACCUCUUCCCGCCGUUGAAACUGAUUGUCUUGAGUGGGCGAGAAGUAUGCGGAAUGCGUGGUGUAGCGGUGAAAUGCAUAGAUAUCACGCAGAACUCCGAUUGCGAAGGCAGCAUACCGGCGCCCAACUGACGCUGAAGCACGAAAGCGUGGGUAUCGAACAGGAUUAGAUACCCUGGUAGUCCACGCAGUAAACGAUGAAUACUAAUUGUUCGGGUCAAAUGAGAUCUGAGUGAUACAGCGAAAGCGUUAAGUAUUCCACCUGGGGAGUACGCCGGCAACGGUGAAACUCAAAGGAAUUGACGGGGGCCCGCACAAGCGGAGGAACAUGUGGUUUAAUUCGAUGAUACGCGAGGAACCUUACCCGGGCUCAAACGACACAGGGAUGAUCUGAGAAAUCAGGCAGUCCUCCGGGACCUGUGUCGAGGUGCUGCAUGGUUGUCGUCAGCUCGUGCCGUGAGGUGUCGGCUUAAGUGCCAUAACGAGCGCAACCCCCAUCGACAGUUGCCAGCAGGUGAAGCUGGGCACUCUGUCGAGACUGCCGGCGCAAGCUGUGAGGAAGGCGGGGAUGACGUCAAAUCAGCACGGCCCUUACGUCCGGGGCGACACACGUGUUACAAUGGCAGGUACAGCGGGAAGCCACCUGGCGACAGGGAGCGGAACCCGAAAGCCUGUCUCAGUUCGGAUUGGAGUCUGCAACUCGACUCCAUGAAGCUGGAUUCGCUAGUAAUCGCGCAUCAGCCACGGCGCGGUGAAUACGUUCCCGGGCCU